UGCAAGUCGAACGAAGCUUGACGGAUGAUUUCUUCGGAAUGAAACCUGAUAUGACUUAGUGGCGGACGGGUGAGUAACACGUGAGCAACCUGCCUUUCAGAGGGGGAUAACGGCUGGAAACGGUCGCUAAUACCGCAUGACGUGUUCGGAUGGCAUCAUCUGAACAUCAAAGAUUUAUCGCUGAAAGAUGGGCUCGCGUCUGAUUAGAUAGUUGGUGGGGUAACGGCCUACCAAGUCUACGAUCAGUAGCCGGACUGAGAGGUUGAACGGCCACAUUGGGACUGAGAUACGGCCCAGACUCCUACGGGAGGCAGCAGUGGGGAAUAUUGCACAAUGGGGGAAACCCUGAUGCAGCAACGCCGCGUGAAGGAUGACGGUUUUCGGAUUGUAAACUUCUUUUCUUAGUGACGAAGACAGUGACGGUAGCUAAGGAAUAAGCAUCGGCUAACUACGUGCCAGCAGCCGCGGUAAUACGUAGGAUGCAAGCGUUAUCCGGAUUUACUGGGUGUAAAGGGAGCGCAGGCGGGACUGCAAGUUGGAUGUGAAAUACCGUGGCUUAACCACGGAACUGCAUCCAAAA
rnacentral:rRNA from 1 species